rnacentral:rRNA from 1 species
GAUGCACGCUGGCGGCGUGCCUAAUACAUGCAAGUCGAGCGAACGGACGAGAAGCUUGCUUCUCUGAUGUUAGCGGCGGACGGGUGAGUAACACGUGGAUAACCUACCUAUAAGACUGGGAUAACUUCGGGAAACCGGAGCUAAUACCGGAUGAUAUUUUGAACCGCAUGGUUCAAAAGUGAAGGACGGUCUUGCUGUCACUUAUAGAUGGAUCCGCGCUGCAUUAGCUAGUUGGUAAGGUAACGGCUUACCAAGGCAACGAUGCAUAGCCGACCUGAGAGGGUGAUCGGCCACACUGGAACUGAGACACGGUCCAGACUCCUACGGGAGGCAGCAGUAGGGAAUCUUCCGCAAUGGGCGAAAGCCUGACGGAGCAACGCCGCGUGAGUGAUGAAGGUCUUCGGAUCGUAAAACUCUGUUAUUAGGGAAGAACAUAUGUGUAAGUAACUGUGCACAUCUUGACGGUACCUAAUCAGAAAGCCACGGCUAACUACGUG